ensembl:lncRNA
CAGCUCCGUUUCACAGAUUUUUCAACCUUCGUCAAAAAUCUCCACCGAACCAGCGGCACUUUCGGGCUGUAAUUCAACUUAAAACGAAUUUCUGUGCACAGAAUGUUCUGGAAUCCGGUUAAAGUGGAAGAAAAGACGUGGUUUCUGUGAAAGUUUCGCUAAAUUUACGGCUUCCGGCGGGAAAUUUGAUGGUUAAAGUUGACGUCGGUGUAACGAGGAUUAGUGUUGACCGACCGAACAUGUGCUGAGAUGCCUUCCUACAGCUUUCUGGAUAACUUGGAGCUUUUUAUCCGGACAGGAAAGUUUCCUGGAAAUGCUUCAACAAGCUCAAAGAAAGUGACCAAAGCUGCCAGCAAACACUUCCUCUACAAAGAUGGCUCUCUGUGGCGAACUUAUCGAGGCCGCCUCCUCCGUGUCGUCAGGAGCGACGAGGAGGUUCGGGACAUCCUGCUGCGUUACCAUGACAACAACAACCACGCUGGCCGAGUUCGGAUGGUGAAGGAGAUCAUGCUCUUGUAUUAUUGGGUCGGAGUGACGGAGGCCGUGAAGAAGUGGAUCAAAGCCUGCACCGUCUGUCAGAACCGACCUCGCCCCGAACCUCUGGACCCGCCCGUCCACUUCUGCCUGGUUUACGGCUGCGAUGCCUCCAGUUACGUUCACCCCGAGCUCAGCUUCCACAGGUUUCCAAAGGAGGCGGAGAGGCGGCGGACGUGGCUGGCGGUGGCUCAGAGGGACGAAGGUUCGCUCAGAUCAAACUCCUACAUCUGCUCACGACACUUUGACUCAUCCUGCUUCAACCUGAGCGACGAAGGUCAACGGAUGCUGUCAUCAGACGCUGUACCGACCAUCGUACCGCAAACUACUAAAGAGGACGAGAUCAACUGGCUUCUUAUGACCACAUCAUGGAACAAACCUGACCAACAUGGACCAGAAUCUAGACCAAGAACCAGAACAAGACCUCUAUGGAGUCUGGAUCAGGAACCCAACCCUCAAACAAUCAGCCCGACCCCCGUAGAUUAAGACUGUACCUCAGAGAGCA